GUGAGGAAUAUUGCACAAUGGGCGAAAGCCUGAUGCAGCAACGCCGCGUGAGGGACGAAGGCCUUCGGGUCGUAAACCUCUUUUCUGAGGGAAGAGCGAGGACGGUACCUCGGGAAUAAGUCUCGGCUAACUACGUGCCAGCAGCCGCGGUAAAACGUAGGAGGCGAGCGUUAUCCGGAUUUACUGGGCGUAAAGCGUGCGCAGGCGGCUUUGUGAGUCGGAUGUGAAAGCUCCCGGCUUAACUGGGAGAGGUCAUUCGAUACUGCGAGGCUUGAGGUUGGGAGAGGGGUGCGGAAUUCCCGGUGUAGUGGUGGAAUGCGUAGAUAUCGGGAGGAACACCUGUGGCGAAAGCGGCACCCUGGCCCACACCUGACGCUGAGGUACGAAAGCGUGGGUAGCAAACAGGAUUAGAAACCCCUGUAGUCC
rnacentral:rRNA from 1 species